CGCCUCCCUCCGCCGCCACUCACGACUACCGUACGGGACGGACGAGCGAGUGGGAAGUAGUUGCGCAUGGCGAAGCCUGACGCAGCGACGCCGCGGUGGGGAGUGGAAGGCCGUUCGGGUUCGUUAACCCGUUUCUACGCAGGACGAAGCGAAAGUGACGGUACCUGCAGAAGAAGCGCCGGCUAACUACGUGCCAGCAGCCGCGGUAAUAC
rnacentral:rRNA from 1 species